rnacentral:rRNA from 1 species
AUUGAACGCUGGCGGCAGGCCUAACACAUGCAAGUCGAACGCGUGGCGGACGGGUGAGUAAUGUCUGGGAAACUGCCUGAUGGAGGGGGAUAACUACUGGAAACGGUAGCUAAUACCGCAUACCAUCGGAUGUGCCCAGAUGGGAUUCGCUAGUAGGUGGGGGAAAGGCUAACCUAGGCGACGAUCCCUAGCUGGUCUGAGAGGAUGACAAGCCACACGGGAACUGAGACACGUUCCAGACACCUACGGGAGGCAGCAGUGGUGAAUAUUGCACAAUUGGCGCAAGCCUGAGGCAGCCAUGCCGCGUGUAUGAAGAAGGCCUUCGGGUUGUAAAGUACUUUCAGCGGGGAGGCGUUACCCGCAGAAGAAGCACCGGCUAACUCCGUGCCAGCAGCCGCGGUAAUAC